UCGUUCUAUGAGUAGGUGUGUGUGUUCUAUGAGUAGGUGUGUGAGUAGGUGUGUGUCAUAGAACACACACUACUCAUAGAACACACACACCUACUCAUAGAAC
rnacentral:pre_miRNA from 1 species